CAGCGGGAACGGGGGGAAACAGCGGCAACUAUCAGCGGGAACAGGGGAACCACGGGAACUAUGGUGCCCACCGCCAGAACAGGGCCGGAAAGGCCCAUCCAGGGCCAUCUCUCAUGGAUCACUAUCGUGCGCCGUCUGAGAAUGAUAACACUGGAAAAGAUAACACUUUCACAUUGCUGUAGAAUGCCCUGCAUUAUUAAGCUCGAAAAUAAAGUAUUUAUAAAGUAUUUUCCGGACAGUUAUUUAUUAAAGGCAGUAGUGUCACUCUGCUCUACGCUAAGGGCCCCAGGUAUGCAAACCCAAAAUUGUAAGGCAGCUUCACUUUACACAAGCAGAAACAUUUAAAUCUGUGCAUGUGUCAAUGAAGGAAUUCAGCGAAAUACAAAGCACACUAUCUUACAAAAGUAGGUAGGCAUUUUCUGUUCCUGUAGUAAUUCAGAAUAACACCAACAUGACUGUUUAAACAAGAUCACAGGGAAAAAAGCUGAAGGAAACAGUGACAAGAGUAUUUUCUGUGCUCUUACAACCUCCCCAUGAGGGCAAAAUAUAAUUAAAAUGAAAAAAACCCAAGAAAUUAAAGAGGUUCCUACACCAUCAGGAGGAAUAGGUGAUGACAAGCAUAAGUACACCCAUUUGCUCAAGCAAUCAUCACAUGCUUCUGAUCAUAAGGCAGAUGCAAUCAGACUGGAAUUGCCACUUGUAGAGUUGUCUUGUUUUGGAUCAGACAUCAACACAGCCCAAGGAAUGGAAAACAAGAUCUCAGUAUUAUCAAAAGGAGAUGGCUCCUACUGACAGCAACAGGAUUAUUAAAAGGCAGUCAGUGAAUUCAGCCAUUACACCCUGCAGAUUCCCUGAAGGACUGUAAUUCAACAUACUUGCUCCUUAACUACAGUCUGUUACCAGCUAACUUUCCUCCUUGGCACAAUAAAAGGGCUGGUUUUUUGUUUAAAGAGUUGCAGUUCUUUGCUUUAGUAGCAAAUGUAGAUAGCACAGCAGACGGACACUUUAAAUGAUAAACAAACAGUGCUAAUUUCCUUUUCAUUUUGAAAAGAAGAAAACGUUAUAAACAACAAUUGACAGCUGAGUACCUCCCUAAAAAGUGCACAGUAAGAGGGAUAUGACAGAGAUGGAAAAGGCACUUGACAGAACAGAUGGAAGUGGAUCUGGCAGGGGAUCUCUAGGAAACAGAAGGAGUUUUGUUACUGGUGUUAAGGGAGCAACAUUGCCUAUAGUUAAUAGAGCACUUCAGAUAUGGAAUAGUAUAUUUGUUUUUACGUAGAAAAUUGUGUGAAGUUCAUUGUUAAGUCAGUUCUCAUCUUCAUGACAUAUGUAUCACAAGUUCUGCAGCUACAGACUGCUUGAUCUUUGAGGGCAAUUUAUGUUUAAGACCUUAUUGCUGCUGUUAAAUCGCAGUAUUCAAGGAGAAAUUUACAGCAUUUCUGGAAAACCCCAUGGAGACAAAUACAGACUUUAGCCUUGUUCAGCA